rnacentral:rRNA from 1 species
UACAGAGGUCUCAAGCGUUGUUCGGAUUCAUUGGGCGUAAAGGGUGCGUAGGCGGGCGCUGUAAGUCGGACGUGAAAUCCCUCGGCUCAACCGAGGACGUGCAUCCGAAACUACAGUGCUCGAGUAUGGAAGAGGGUCGCGGAAUUCUCGGUGUAGAGGUGAAAUUCGUAGAUAUCGGGAGGAACACCAGUGGCGAAGGCGGCGACCUGGGCCAAUACUGACGCUGAGGCACGAAAGCGUGGGGAGCAAACAGG